rnacentral:lncRNA from 10 species
CCAUUGGAAAAAUGUAGUACCUAGGGCGGGUCCAUAGUCCUUCACUGCUUCCCUUGGAUAGGGGAGGGAGGUCCCUCGGCUCAUUGUACUUCCUGGAUGAAGCAAUGCCCCACCCUGCUUCUGCUAGCUCACUGUGGGUUGCACCCACCGCCUAACCAGUUCCAUUGAGAUGAACUGGGUAUGUCAGUUGGAAAUGCAGAAACCACCCACCUUCUCUGUUGGUCUCGCUGGGUGCUGCAAACCAGAGCCGUUUCUAUUCAGCCAUCUUGGCCCUUCCUCCCAUCUGUAUAUCUUAAUUUUACCUUUCUUUUUGAAAGCUAACUUGGGAGAAUAUAGAAUUCUAGGCAAAAUUGUUGAGCCAAGGUCCUGGAACUGUGAGUAAGAAAAUGACAAACCCAUCUCUCAGUGGCACCCCUACUGCAGGAGUUGAGCACUCAUUAGAGAAGAGCAGCAGGAAAUGGACCUGAAUAUCCUCUUAGCAGCCAUGACUGGAUGCCAAAUGGGACAAAGAAGAACUUUGAAUAUGACAUCACACUACCUCCUGCACUGUGGUUCCUGAUAAGAAAUCAGCCAUUCAUCUUACUGAGACUCCUUUAGGAUUGGUGCCCUCAUAAGAAGAGAAAGACACACCAAAGCACUUCCUUUGAUGUGAAGAUACAGUGAUAAGGUAGCACUUUCCAGGAUCUUACUGUUACCCAGGAUGAAGUACUGUGGCAUGAUCACAGCUCCCUGAAGCCUCAACCUCUCCAAGCUCAGGUGAUUUCUUCCACCUCAGCCUCCAAAGUAGCUGGGACUACAGGCAUGCGCCACUACACCCAGCUAAUUUUUUUGUGUGUUUUGGAGAGAUAGGGUUUCAUCAUGUUGCCCAGGCUGGUCUGAAACUCCUGGACUCAAGCAAUCUACCCACCUGGGCCUCCCAAAGUGCUAGGAUUACAGGCAUGAGCCACUACGCCCAGCAAGGUAUUUUCUGAAAAGGUGGAUUGCUGCUUCAAAGGACCUGGACCCAGAGGCCCUGUCCAUGAAUGUUUCUUGCUUGGUUCCGAGGCCACCAAACAUACUGGCUGAGCCUUCUGUAUUCACCCUGGCCUAUCAAUGCCAUCUAUGAGAGCAGCCACACUGAGAGAGCAGCAGCAUGGAGCCUACUCAAGGGUUGGACCGACUGUGACAUUUGGGGAAGCCCCACAGAACAGAUCCCGGUAGAAGACACAAAACUUCCACGUCAGAGACAAAGGAUUUCAUUACUCAUGGCAAAAGCAGGAAUCAGAGCUUCACAUUUGCUGGUGUCAAUUUCUCAUACCCUCAAAUCCCAGAAGCAUGACACAAAAGAGUCCAUGAUGGAUGUCUGAAUACACAGUGGGCUGUGUUAGAAGAGAGUAACACUGAGCUCAGGUGAUCUCUGCUUCUGUAGUAAGCUUGCACUUUGUCUCGGGGGAGACAUUCCCUCAUCACUCAAGACUGUUCCCUGCAAACACAACCUUGAAUAAUGGCCCAGAAGAGUGGUGAGAGUUCUAAAUUCCUGGCACUUCCAGCAAGUAUGCUCAGGAACACCAGGGCCCAAAGUGGAUUGCCUCUUCCUAAAAAUAUGUUUAUGACUGAAGCCCUUUCCUUUAAAAUGUUAGGUGAAUAUGGAUCUUUUAUUUGCUGUCCUAUUUCAUUUUCAAUAAUUCUGAGUAUGACUCACCAAAAUGAUUUCACAAAAUAAUCUGUAGUAACCUUCAAUUUAAACAACAAACAAAUAAAAAAAAUUGCUAUGUUAAGUAUAUAUUUGAGAGUGUAAUUGCAGAAUUACAUUCUUCCUUAACAUACAAUGUGAAUGGUUUUAUAAAGUGAUUUGUCAGUUAUUUAUCAUUUGCUUUUCACAAGCGGUGUAUGAAUAUUCCCCUUGCCAUAUGUCUCCACCACCACUUGGUUUUGUCAGACAUUUAUUGUUUGAUAAUCAAAUACUGCAUAAUUAUAUCUGAUUUGGUUGUAAUUUGCAUUUUACUUAUUAUUAAUGAGGUUUAGCAUUGCCAUAUGUGUAUAAGUCAUUUGUUUUUCAUUGUCUGUUAAAUGUCUGCAUAUGACUUUGGCCCGUUUUAAAAUUGAGAUAUUUCUUUCUUUUAGAUUGAUACAUGAAUUAUUUACAUUUGUGAGUUAUGAAUAUUGUCAAUAACGUCUCACUGUAGAUCAAUUUUUCACUGAAUUUCUGGUAUCAUUUUAUAAAUUAAAUUUAUUUUAAUGUUUCAAGUAUUCUAUUUUAAACUGAUAUUUUAUGGUAUUUGUCAUGUAUAAGAACUCAUUCUAGAUCAUUAGUCAUAAAGAUAUUCAUCUAAAUUUUCUUCAAAACUGUUAAAUGUCUUUAACAUUUAAGUCCUAAAUACAUCUGAACUGGUCCAAUAAUCCAAAUGAAUCAAAUAUCUAAGAAAAACUGUAACAAAGGAAGAGACAAAUCUAUAGAGAGUACAUUAUAAAACAUUCUUGAGGGAGAAUCAAUAUGAACCUAAAUUAAUAGAAAACUAUUUAUGGAGGGAAAGACAGUAUGUAAAGAAGCAAAUUAUCUUCAAUUCAUCUGUAAAUUUACUGCAAUCUCAAUAAAAAGUCAAGUAGAAGCUUUUUUGUUGAAAUUGAUAAGCCAAUAAUAAAUUGUAAAUAUUCAAAGAUCUAAUGAUAGCUAAUGCAAUAUUGAAGAUAAACUGAAAUUUUGGAGAAUCAAGACUUAUUUGAGGAUUGCAGUAAUGAAGACAGUGAUUAAUUGUGCAAGAAUAGACAAACCAUCCAAGAAAACAAAAUAGAGAGCUGAAAAGCAGACCCAGGCUUAUAUUGAUCAGUGAUAUAGGUGGCAUAACAGGAGGGUGACAAAAAGACAGUUAUUUCCAUAAAUUGUACUUCAUCAAUUGUAUAUCUGAGAGAGAGAGAAAGAGAGAGAAAUUGUUUUUAUUCAUAGUAUAAUAUAUAAUUGCUUCUAUUCAUAGAGAGAAAGACAGAGAGAUAACUGUUUCUAUUCAUAGUAUAAGCAUCUUAAUUUCAGGUGGUUUUUAGAUUUUUAUGUGAAAGUUAAAAAUAGUAAAUCCUAAGAGAGGAUAAUAUAGAGGACGUUUUCACCACAUGGGGUAUAUAAAGAUUAAUAAAACUGGACACAAAGUCUCUGAUUAUAAAAAAAAUUGACAAAUAUUUUGACUGUAAGAGAUUAUAUUAAUAAAUACACAAUACAAUUUUAAGAGAAAUGAAAUGAGAAAUGAAAAGAGCAGCAGUAGAGUGGGAUGUCAAAGUACAUAUGACUGACAAAAAAUUACAAAAUCAAGACUAAAAUGGCAUACCACUAGAGCAGCUAUAAAUACAAAGAGUAAAAAUGCUCUUCUGUUUGGAGGACGUGAAGCAUGUUCUUGGGCACUGAUUACGUGAGUAGGUAGCUUUUCCUGAUUAUAUCCUCUGCAGAGUUUUCAUAGUGUAUCAUGUCUAGAUCACAACUGGAAAGAUCUAUGGCAAAUUCAUCAUCUGUCAAUGAGCGCAACCAAUAUUUGUUACAAUUUUACCAUGUUUAAUUGUGAAAGAGUUCUUAGAGCAUCAAAACACAUAUCCAGAAAUACUAUCCUCAAGUACCAGGCAAUAUUUAUUUUUUUUCAGUUACUUUUCUGCCCUAUAUUUAUCACUAAGCUCAUAUGAACUUUUAAUUUUUUAAAAAAACCUUUAGGUGUCUGUUUUACUCAUUCCAGAGAGAAGGAACUUAUUGGCACAUGACUGAUUUAUUAAAUACACUCAAUAAAAGUUGGCAUUUUUACAGUCAGCAAGCUCAAUAAAGUUCACAAAUAAAUCUUCUAUAGUUCUCAUAUUUACAUAUUUCUCAUAUUACUCUUUACCUAGGUAUCUAUCAACUUUGAAAGAUCCAAAAAUAGAACAUGAGGGCCAUAAUUGUCUGGAAAUGAGGAGAGGGUAUAUUUCUUUGUGAGAAUUUUUUGUGUAAAUGAGUAAGUUAAGAUGAUAUUAUAAAACCAAUUAUUAUAAAAUUCCUGAGGAUAUCCUCUAUAGCAUGUACUUUGGCAUUGAUUAUCUAUAUGAGUAGGUAGCUUUUCCUGAUUACAUCCUUUAUAAAGUUUUCAUAGCAUAUCAUAGCUAUGAAAAUAUUUUUCAGAAAAAGAUAAACCACACAGGAAUAAAUGAUAAAGUGAAUGAUAACUUUUCAGUUAAAAAAAGAACUAAAUGUACAAUGAAAUUUGGGACUAAAUAAAUGGCACUUCUGCACAAUUCAGAUCUUUUUCCCCCUUAUGCUGAGCCUACUUUGUUGUUUUGCAUAACCUACAACAUGUAGACAUCUCAGUUAGAGACCUCUAUCCCAUACCCUUUUUCCCCAAAAGUUCUUUCCUUUCAUCAGUGAUGGCUGAGUCGAUUCUUAGACUAGUUCCAAUGUAUUCCCUUGAUGUAAUCAUCAGAUCUGUCUCCCCUCAGCACCUUGUUUGGGGAUGCUUCUCAUUCUCUAUGCCUAGGUACAAUUUCAAAUCCAGAGUUGGAGCUGUCAUCUUCAUAAAUUCUCCUUAGAUUAUAGGAGUUCACAAAAUCUUGUCAUUUCUGUGUACUCUUCUCGGUCUUAAGAAAUGUUUCUCCUGGAAUAACCUGUGGUCACCCUCUGAUAGGUAUGUUCUGUUAUUAUGUUUUUGUGUAAAUUUUGUCAAGCUAAUGUAACUGUGAUUUUAUUUCACAUGAUCUAUAGGGCCUUACACAAACCUGAACCUAAUAAAGACAUGUGGGACAUAAUCUCAAAAUGAUAUCACUGAAACUCAUUUCCAACCCAAUUAAACUGUUCUCCUAGGGUUGGUUGACAGUCCAGAAUUAUUAGGCUUCUCAGUGGAGCCAGAACAAUCUGUCCAGUGAUACUUGAUCCGAUCAAGUGUUUUCAUGGGUGGUUUGGAAACCAUGUCUUGCUUUGCAGAUGUUAUUUAUCACAAAGUUGCCCCUAGCCCUUUAAUGUUGAGGAUUUGAUAUUAGUGGAGUUGUGGAAGUGAAAUUAUUAGGGUGUCCUUAAAGUCCUUUUCCAUAAAUGAAUGAUUUAUUGGAGCAAUGAAAGAAAGGAAUAAGUUUGCCUGCUCAAUAUAGCCCGUCAUUUUUGAUGAAUGUGACUCACCUUUCUGUAAGAAGUUCAAUUUAGCACUGGUACCAAUUCUUGAAUUUUAUAGAGAAGGAAAUUGUAAAAUGUCUUAGAAAUGUGGCCACGGAGAGAACAAACUGAGGUUGAAUGAUGCAAAAUCAGAACUACACUGAAUGCAACGUAAUGCCAAUGCUGUUCAAUGCCAAGAGACUUACAGGAUAAAAUUUGGCUUUUUCCUUUUGAAAUAAUAUUAGCUUGCUAUUGAGUAAAAUCAGGUAGCAACACUUCAUAACUCCAUUACCUACCUGUUUUGUAUUCAUUAAAGUGUGGCUUUCUUGGCCUGACUGUCAGUGGUAUGCUGAGAUGGCUUGCCACAGCUCCAGAGUGCAUUGUAUAUAUUUCUUCUUGACUUCACGUUAAGUGACAUUAUGUUGGUAGCUUGGAAUUGGUCAUGAUGAAGCUAUAUAUACCAGGAAAACUGGCACAUGCUGCAAAUGAAGGCUCCUGCUCUUCCAGAGAUCUAACUGUUAAGUAUUUAUCAGCAUACUACUAACCUGUGUUCAAAGGUUGAACUGCAGAAGCCUCU